GUCUGUAUACCAACAUGAAUACAGAAUGAAACAGAGAAUGGUCUGAUGAUCGGCUGGAAGCACAUUAACUAAACAAAUCUGAACUACAGUCAAACCUCGUUAGGACGAACACGGAUAAGGCGAACUUUCCAUUAGUACGAACUAAGGUCAAUCCUAUGGUUGGCCAGGCAUCAAUUCAAGUCAAAAUUAUUCGUUUACGACGAACUUCUGUACAGCGAACUUUCGCGAAGACGAACUAUUUUCAAGUGUGAUUUGAACAAAGUCAGUGUGGUCAUGUACAUGUAGUACGAACUUUCGGUCCACGAGCGUGCGCUGGCUGCUUUUUUUCUUCUUCUUUUUUUCAAUAGUCGAGGUCAUACUAGUAUUGUACGUACAGUGCAAAUUGCUUUCAAGCGUGUUUUGAACAAAUCAAUCAGUACGUUGUACCAACUUUCGGCACAGUCGUGAUUCAUUGCACUUUGUCAUUGUACUUACCUUGUUCUGGCUUAUGCUAAGAAUGACAUGCUUCCCAUGUACACGUUUACCACAGCAUGCACCUUCACGUAAAUACAAUCCAUCUGAUAUGCAUAUCGAUUUUUUGUCAGAUCUGGAUAAGAAGAACUCCCGAUAAGACAAACAAAUUUGUUCAGUCCCUUGAAGUUCGUCCUAACGAGGUUUGACUGUACAAUCAGAGGAUUUUCUCAAAGUCUAUAAUGAUUAAUGUAGACAUGCGGCCUACAUUUACAGUAGCACUACAAGGUAGAUGAGACUGAUUGAGAUCAUGCAAAGCUGCACAUGAUUCACACCAUACCUAUAGACUCUUCAAAGGCCCGGAGUUUGCCCGUUAGGUAGCGAAUCUCACUCUGCUGUUUGGACACCUGAGAGUGAGAGAGAGAGAGAGAGAGAGAGAGAGAGAGAGAGAGAGAGAGAGCGAGAGAGAGAGAGAGAGAGAGAGAGAGAGAGAGAAACAGCCGGCUGGGUUCAGGUUACAUAAUAAAAUACAACGGAACACAACUCAAGAGGAAUGUGAACAGCCAAGCAUCUCGGGCUCCCGAGUCUCUCUACUUCUCCAAAGAACUCCUAAACAACAAGGGCCAACUCCGACCCAGAUCCCGUGCGUGAGGAGCUCAGAGCGGAUCUACAGCUAGAGUACAGUGCAGUAUCAGCAUGCUGGUUUUGAGACAGAAUUCGUUUGAAUUUCACCUCGUUAACCCACAAAAAUUCGGGAAUCGUUAACUUUAAUUGACGUUAAAUAUCUGGUAUUACAGUACAGAGUAGGUUUGUGGACGUCAUGAUACAAACACAUGCACAAGUCAUGGUAGCAAGGCUGCUACAUUUCUCCCCUUUUGGGGAAAAGACGGAGUCAGCGACGGCUUCCUUCCAGGCCUGGCUGUCGUCGUAGACUUAGCUGCCCAAUCAUACUGGGUACGGGUUUGCCGGCAUUUGUUGGACGUACUGGUCGGCAAUGGCUGCUGUACCAGGUUGCGGCUGAAUACGGUCGAGAUGACGUCGCUGCAACAAACCCGACUGGGCAUUCUCCAAGUGAAGGGACUGCAUAAACUGUCGGCAAGACUCGCGCCUCAGACGCUCUUUAUCCUCGCGCAGUUCAGACUGGCACUCAUCCAGUUGCCUGCACUCAGUCUGGGAAGUGCCAGCCUCAAUCUUCACCAGCGCCUCUCGUAGUUCCUGGUUUUCUUACAAAUGACGCAUUUUAUUGGGCCAGUAGAUGCAUUGGCAGAACAUGCGACGAUUUCCUCCAGCUUUCUCUUCAGCUGGGAGCACUCGCGGUACUUGUGAAUUUUGGCCCAUUGUCGGAAAUCAACCUGUGCGGUGCACCGAAUAGAGCGAAGAUCUGAUCGCAUGCCUUCGUGAUCGCCACCAUUGUUUCCGAGCCGAGGCGAACAACAGUAGGGUAGCAAGAAUACGAAUCCAGGCAGCUGAGAAACGGGAUGCCGAGGUAAUAGAAAACGUCGACAGAAACCGUGUGACACACACACACGUGUGGGGAAGCUCUCUUGGCUUGAGCGGAGCUGGCCGUACACUUGCAUUGGACAUGCACCGUGUGCAUUCCUCGAGCAUUUGACGGGCAUCCUUGCUCCAACCGGGCCACCAAACACACUCUCUCAGGCGUUGCAGGGUCUUGUCACGCCCUGGAUGUCCGUCAUGCGCCAGCUUCAGAACACUGUCAACAGCAGCCAGAGGAAUGACGAGGCGAUCACCACGGCAAAUCACAAAGCCGUUAGAGUUCGGAUACGGCCAGAAGCUGAGCUCAUGCCGAAGUGCUUCAAAUGGAGUGAGCUUUGCUUAGCUGUCUUUGGCCAACGAGACGUCUCAAGAGCUGUGCGAACUGCUGUGAGCGUGUCAUCCUGUGCGGUCAACUCCGCAACUCACUUGCGUUGAGGUGUCGGCAAACCACACGCAAGGGUUACAGCGUGGACCAAUGCAUCAGUGGGAUCCGCAGGCUCAACUGGAAGACGUGACAACGCUUCUGCUAUGUGAUUCUGGGUACCAGGACGAUAGGCGACAGUAAAGCUGAGGUCUUGCUUCUUCAUAACCAGCUUCUGCACACGCAAGUUAGCGUUCACGAGACAGUACGUUGGUUUGAAGACUUGAAUGAGAGGUUUGUGAUCAGUUAUCACUGCGAAACUGGUGCCAGUGACAAACAUACGGAAACGGUUGAUCCCCCCCCCCCCCAUGCCACAGCCAAUGCAUCUUUCUCAAUUGCUGCUAGCGAGAUUCUGGGCCGCUUAGCUUGUGACUUGCAUAGUACACCGGUCGCCACCCUUCGUGUUCGCUGCUACCGUCUCCCCCGUGAGAGAGAGUGAGAGAGAGAGAGAGAAAAAGAGAAAAAAAGAUGGAGCAUUGCUCUACCUCCUGGUUGAAAGCAGGUCCACUGAAGAUUAUGAACCAGCUGUGACAGGGCAAUUCUUACACCACAAAGUAUGUUCACCCAGUGGUUCUACAUGAUUGCCGUACAGCUGUCCAGAAGGGAUUCUGAAAGGGAAACGAUGAAUUCUUCCUUACCGUGUCUUCCAACUCUUGAAUGUGACAUUUCAUUCGUUUAAACAGUGCAACCUGUUGCUGGUAAGCUGUGACCUGUGAAGUCUUCCUGCAACGGGUACAUGCACAAACAGGCCAAGUGUGUCAUGGUGACAGUUCAAUGUUCAAUGUUCAAUGUUCAAUGCUAGAACAGAUGCACAUGCAUGAAUGCACGCAUUCAUUACACUUGAAUCCAGCAUUUGAGCACACAGUACAGCUUGAAAGCGAGGACAUCAAACGCACUUGGAUAGUAAAGAAAAGAAUUGGAUAGACCCAUAUCUUUCUCGCUCCACGUAUACUGGCACACACAGAGACAUAGACAGCAAUAGCGACAACACACAACGUGAAGGGUAGUUGGCCGCAGCCAGAUGUGACUAUGACUGCCCGGCCAUAACUUGGACAUGCCCGGAACUCUGGACAACAUUAUGAUCGGGAAGCCUGACCAGAGAUCUGAGAUAUGAUGUUACUACUUCCACAAAGAGUAGUGACACUUCCACUAAACCCUCACCUACAGGUUGCCCGGUAGACCGAAGUGACCGUGCCUUUCAGGUCCGGAUAAGAGAGAUAUGAAUGUACAUGUAUUACCAUUUUCUUCAUUUUUCAUUCUUCCAUAGCUUAAAAUGUGCUAGACGGCGAUGGCCACGCACCCAUUCUGAUUUCCUCUGUACCACUGAGCAGUGCGCUACAGACAAUGUUGAAGCACAACCAGUGGAUGUAUCACUGAGCAGUGCGCUACAUACAAUGUUGAAGCACAACCAGUGUCCAGUGCAGUGGAUGUAUCUACAUACAAUGUUGAAGCACAACCAGUGUCCAGUGCAGUGGAUGUAUCACCCCCAACAUGCUGCUCUAAGUAGAUCCAGCAGAAGUCACAAAACCAUCGCCCGGUUCAUGGGUGCUACACUGAGUGACUGAACCAUGCAACAUAGAGACAGGGGAAGUUACCAGACAGAAGAAAAAUAUGAGGAAGACAGCAAGGAGGUGAAGAAGAGGAAUGUGAGGGAGGAGGAGGAGGGCAAGGAGAACGAGGGGGAGGUGAGGCUGGAUGAAGAGGAUGAGGAAUAUUCAAGUAGGGGGGAAACGAUUACACCUUUCGACUACCGAAUAACCUAAACCGUUAUCGAUCGGUUAUCGGUUACUUUUCGAUUAUUUCUUCCGCAGAUAAAAACAGUAUCAGAAGCUGAAAAAAAAAUGCAAAAUUUAGAAUUUUAAUAUUGAUCCUGUGGAGGAGAGAGUUUUUUCCUCUCACAUCUGUCGAUCUACAAUCAUACGUGUAUAAUAAUGCAUCCUGUAUGCAUAAUCAAGCAAUCAAAACUUUUCGAAUAAUCGUAACGAUUUCUAUUUUGAUUACUGUAAGACAUGUUAUUAUAACGAGUUGCAAAUUUAACGAUUGUGCAAAAUUCAUAGGUUAACGAGAAGAUAUAUUAACGAUCUUGCAGUAUUUCGGCAUAUCCACAUACAGCAUAUAUGAACCUGUACGGCCUCAACGGAUCUUAUUAUAACGAAGAAAUGUCAUCCGUUAAAACGUUAGAUUUGCUUCCUCGUUAUAUAUACAUGUCUUACAGUAUUCGGUAUAAUCGUUUCACCCGGCUACAGUCAAAAUACAAGUCAAGACACUCACCAGGCUGACAUUUCUGACUCGGCAUCAACGAGAAAGUGACGGUCAUCACCAGAAUCUUCAGAAGCAUCUGCAAAGCACAGAAGAAGCACCCAACACUGUACCAACACUGCGCUACUGAUUACCAUACAAUACAACGUAGCAACCAGCAAAACAUCACCAUAGCAACCAGCAAACAUCACCAUAGCAACCAGCAAAACAUCACCAUUCUUUUGCCUUUGCAGUAGUACGUCCCCUAGACCCAUUUGAGAAGCGUCCCGUGACCUGGAGUGUGACUGGAUUCUUGACAUCGUAGUGCACUAAUCGGGUAUGCUUACACAUUGCAUCUUUCAAGGCCUGGAAUGCCUCUUCCUCUGCCUUGCCUCAUUGCCAUUUCAUUUCUUUCCUGAGUAAUUUGUGCCGUGGUGCAGCAAUCUCUGCGAACCGAGGCACAAAUUUCCAUGUGAAGCGGCGGCUCUUCCGGUUUGUGACCAGACUUGUCAAACGGAAAACAAUUCUCGUCUGACGGCUUCGAAGUUUGCUUGCUCGUCGACGUGCACGAUGCUCCAGUCGAACGGACGGCGUGGACGGGCUGUGCCGUCAAUUGCUCCGACUCUCUGGGCGCUGUCUCAUAGGCUGAUGCCAUCGUCACGACGUCCGCCAAACUUGAGGUCUCCUUGGCUUUGAUCAAGAUCUCCUUCGUGACACUCAUUGACUUCAGACCAACGAACUGAUCUCUGAGUGCUCUGUUAAACUUACAAUCCAUAACUGCUUUCUUUAGUCUAGCUGCAUAUUGUGUCGCUGACUCUCCGUCCUUUUGACAAGUUCUCUGGAACCUAUGUAUCGCCGCCAACACACUGACAUUCGGCUUGAAGUGCUCCGUAAGUAAUGCUGCAAAGCAUUAGCCUACAGUAAUACAUGCAAAAGGUGCAACCUACGCCUUUGCGGAAAAUUGUGAAUUCCUCUAGGACCCUAAAGGUCUGACGUGGAAUUUAGGUUGCAUAAGGAGGUGAGGCUGAGAAUGUGACAGUGUGUUAGGCCCAAAAUCGCUCCGUUUUCAUAUAAUUCAUAGCGUUUCAAAGACAAACACAUUCAGCCUCAUUUCCUGCCAAAACCAACCCCUCCCAGAAUCUCGUUGGCCUUUCUGAGCCGUUUCUUGAAUGUAUUACUGUGACAGUGUUCUGCCGGGGGGUAUCACUGCACUGGGAGGGUGGGGCACUGUCACAUUCUCAGCCUCACCUCUUUAUGCAACCUAAAUUCCACGUCAGACCUUUAGGGUCCUUGCGGAAUUCAUGAUUGCAUUUUGGAGGCUCGGCCUUCAAAUUUGACAGUCACGGUGAUUUUCAAAGACAAGCGGCUGAGACCGUAUCCAGUUAAUUGCUCCUACAUGUAUUAUCACUGUCCACGGUGACUGAGGUGGAAAAAGAAAUAUUUAUUAUAGGAUAACGUCAUCCAGUGCAAACAUGGACAGCAGCACUCACCCCUCCCCUCUAUCAUUUCUCACCUGUAUAGUUUUUAUUACCAGUGCAAUUUUUUCCAAAGUUUGUGCUAUUUUUCUUACUAUUCUUGUAUCCUCGUUUUUUCACUCCAAGUGCAUAAAUCCUAUCGUAGUUUCAUCAUCUCCUUUAGUCACGAAUUCCAUUGAUAAUUGUGACAAGAAAACGUUCUGGAAUACUAUAUUCGUUGCUAUGGUUGUGAUAUGAGUGCACACAUAGUUUAUUCAUUGCAUUACUUUAAAAAGGUUUUGAAUUGCAUUGUUUUUUGUUAAUAUUGACUAACGGAUUCCUGCGUCAGAUAAUAAAUUAUUACUGUAGUGUCGUGACAUAGUUUAAGAAUUCUCGUACGGUGGAUUGAUGAACUUGUCUUGAACUUAUUUUAUGUGUUGCUUCAAUGA